rnacentral:rRNA from 1 species
UACAGAGGUCUCCAGCGUUGUUCGGGUUCAUUGGGCGUAAAGGGUGCGUAGGUGGCGCCGUAAGAGGGGUGUGAAAUCUCGGGGCUUAACUCCGAAACUGCAUUCCAUACUGCGGUGCUCGAGGACUGGAGAGGAGACUGGAAUUUACGGUGUAGCAGUGAAAUGCGUAGAGAUCGUAAGGAAGACCAGUGGCGAAGGCGGGUCUCUGGACAGUUCCUGACACUGAGGCACGAAGGCCUGGGGAGCAAACGGG